rnacentral:lncRNA from 1 species
AUGCUAUUAAUUGAACUCAGCAUAAAUGUCAGUUUCAUAAAUUACUAAGUAUAAAUGUAAUAAACAUAAAUCUCGAGAAGAGUUUUAUAAUUUAUUCUUAAUUCUAUUUUACAUCAUAGCAAUGCUGAUUAUUAAAAACUUAACCAUCAAAAUUAUCUUGACAUGAUGGUAAAAAUGAGGUUGUCCUAACACAAGAUUGGACCAUCACUUUCAGAUUUCGAUUGAAACAUGGACUCUUGCUUCAAAGACAUCAUAUUUCUGAGUACUAAAUUGAAAUGCCUACUUGUGAUCUCUUAGAGUAAAAUAAUUUCUUAGCAAUUUUACAUCGAAGACUCCUUGCCCAAAAGUGGUAAGCUAUUUAUUAGUGCUAAUAUACUUUUUGCUGGCUACAAAAUCCCUUGAACCCAAUAAAUCACAUAGCCUGUAGAACUUAGUGUUGUGAAAGUGACUUCUAUACAUAGAGUUUGUUAAUACCAAUUGAUCCAAUUUAUAGUUUAGACAACAUUGAAGCCAAACUCUCUAACAAUAAACAUCAUAAUGACCACUAUAAAAUAUCAAAGACCAUCAUCCAUGUCAUAAGCCUCGUAAGAUCUAUAAAUACUAGGUGGAUUCCACCCACUUAACAUCACCAAAAUAAGAAAACUAAAUUACCAAAACCCAUAAUACCAUCCAAAAUUAAACCUACAACACCUUUGCUAAAAAAAAACAAGAAGAAAAGAAAACAUACAAUAUCCAAGUCCAUGAGUGGACGCGUAGCCAAAAUCCCACCAAAGAAUGAGAUUCACAAGGGUCCAACAUUAAAGAGCCCACGACCUACCAUGGUGGCUGAGGGUGAAAUGAAUAUAGGAAGGUCUUUGGUGUAAAUUAUUGGGGAGAACAUAGGAGAGAACUAAGGUAAAGACUGUCUUUCUAUCAAUGGAAAGCGCUCCUCUUUAGUCUGGUUUAUGAACACUUCUUUGAUCGUCGCAUCUUUCAAUACCGGGAAUGCAAUUAAUGUUCCUUCAACAUUCAAUCUUGGUUUAGCAGCAACUUUCCUAUCAUGUAGUUGAUAAGGAAUCUGCAAUGUCUCCUUCUAAACCAUGCAACAUCAGUAAAUAUCGCUAUGUUUGUCGAUAGCUCGUUCUAACACAUGAUCAUGAAGAGGAUGAAUGGAUUGCUCUCUCUUUAUAAAGGAUAUUAUUUGAUCACCAAAUGUGAUCUAUAUAGGAUGAAUGCUUUGUAGAACGCUAUCUAGAGUAGAUCGAUCAUGGCGGCCCAAGA